rnacentral:tRNA from 1 species
GGCGACAUAGCCAAGUGGUAAGGCAGAUGAUUGCAAAUCAUUUACUCCUCAGUUCGAUUCUGAGUGUCGCCU